rnacentral:rRNA from 1 species
AUUGAACGCUGGCGGCGUGCCUAACACAUGCAAGUCGAGCGGUAACAGGUGUAGCAAUACAUGCUGACGAGCGGCGAACGGGUGAGUAAUGCUUCGGAAUCUACCCAAUGGUGGGGAAUAACCAGCCGAAAGGUUGGCUAAUACCGCAUACGUCCCACGGGAGAAAGCAGGGGAUCGCAAGACCUUGCGCCAAUGGAUGAGCCGAAGUCGGAUUAGCUAGUUGGAGGGUAACGGCCUACCAAGGCGACGAUCCGUAGCUGGUCUGAGAGGACGACCAGCCACACUGGGACUGAGACACGGCCCAGACUCCUACGGGAGGCAGCAGUGGGGAAUAUUGGACAAUGGGGGAAACCCUGAUCCAGCGACGCCGCGUGUGUGAAGAAGGCCUGCGGGUUGAAAGCACUUUUUAGUGGGGAUGAAAUGUUCAGGGUUAACACCUCUGGAUUUUGACCUAACCACAGAAAAAGCACCGGCUAACUCUGUGCCA